UACGUAGGGUGCGAGCGUUAAUCGGAAUUACUGGGCGUAAAGGGUGCGCAGGCGGCGCUGCAAGUCGAGUGUGAAAUCCCCGAGCUUAACUUGGGAAUUGCGCUCGAAACUACGGCGCUGGAGUAUGGCAGAGGAAGGUGGAAUUCCACGUGUAGCGGUGAAAUGCGUAGAGAUGUGGAGGAACACCGAUGGCGAAGGCAGCCUUCUGGGCCAAUACUGACGCUCAUGCACGAAAGCGUGGGGAGCAAACAGG
rnacentral:rRNA from 1 species